CGAGUGCAAGCAAAUCCCAGAAAUAACGUCUCAGUUCGGAUUGUAGUCUGCAACUCGACUACAUGAAGCUGGAAUCGCUAGUAAUCGCGAAUCAGAAUGUCGCGGUGAAUACGUUCCCGGGUCUUGUACACACCGCCCGUCACACCAUGGGAGUUGGUAACGCCCGAAGUCAGUGACCCAACCUUAGGGAGGGAGCUGCCGAAGGCGGGACUGAUAACUGGGGUGAAGUCGUAACAAGGUACC
rnacentral:rRNA from 1 species